UACGUAGGCAGCGAGCGUUGUUCGGAAUUACUGGGCGUAAAGAGUGUGUAGGCGGUGCUCCCAGUCUGUUGUGAAAUCUCCCGGCUUAACUGGGAGGGUGCAGCGGAAACUAGAGUGCUAGAGGGUGGGAGAGGUAAGCGGAAUUCCUGGUGUAGCGGUGAAAUGCGUAGAUAUCAGGAGGAACACCUGUGGUGUAGACAGCUUACUGGACCACUUCUGACGUUGAGACACGAAAGCGUGGGUAGCAAACAGG
rnacentral:rRNA from 1 species